CAUUGUACCAGUGACCAGGCUGUGAUCCAUGUCAGUCCAACCACUGAGCAAGCUUCCUGUGGAAGGGAGAAUGAACAGAGGCACAGUGCUGGCUGAACCCAUCCCUGACCUAGAUUCCGCGUUCAGCUAGCUGCUCUGUCUCUCAGCCAAGGCCAUCUGUCCUCUGGGGCAGGGUCUCAAGGGACGAUGAGAUUCUAUCAAUCAAUUAAGUUUAUUCAGGCCCUACUAUGUGCCAGGCACUGUUCAGCCCGGGAACCAGGACCCCUGGUCUCUGCCACUGAGUAACCCUAAUUAGCUAAUGGCAGGAGAGUGACAAAGAGGAAGGAAGACGCAAGAUUGUUGAGGUCCGCCCAGCCACCAGGGUCUACUCAAGACGCAAAGGUCAGCUAUUCACAGCCUCUGCCGACUACAAGGUGGAACCAACACUGGGAGUCACAGCAAUCCUAUUUUUCAUCUCAACGAAGAGCUGAAGAAUACCAACAUUACUCUAAUUUUCUAAUCGUUCCCCAGUGCAAAAUCCCCCGACACUUAGGUGAUCUGCCACCCUGGAAGACAAAGGUACCAUACCCCAAGCUGGCUCAGAGCAGGUACGGACAGGCCAGAGAGAGAAAGGCCUUCGAAAUAAUGGCUGAGAGAGAAUGCACCAGUAGUUUUGGUAGAAAAAUUUAUUAUACAUACAGAAUAGCCACUAACUAAAGGUAAACACGCUAGGACAGAGUUGUGCUAGAUGGAAGAUGGCCGCAAGCUCUUUGGAAAUCAAACAGGUGAUGGUGGCUCUGGUCUCGACACGACAUCAGCCACUCAGGGGCAAGGGCUGGUUCUGAGCACAGACGGCAGGAGCUGGGGGUGACACGAGCACUCCAA